rnacentral:rRNA from 1 species
AGCCCAUAGGCGAAGUGAAAGCGCAAGCAUUGCCGUAGUUUACUGCGGUGUGCUAGGACGGCUGAUCCCGCGAACGGCGCGCGCGUCGUCGUGGGCGCAAGCCGCGGACUCUCGUGGCCGCCGAGGUGGCCGAGGGUACCGAGAGCGCACUUGCCAGGACCCGAAAGAUGGUGAUCUAUGCUUGGACAGGACGAAUGCCAGGGGAAACCCUGGUGGAGGUCCGAAGUGCCUCUGACGUGCAAAUCGAUCAUCAGAUCUGAGCAUAGGGGCGAAAGACUAAUCGAACCAUC